rnacentral:rRNA from 1 species
CUGUAGCUUGGGAUGAUCACGGAGUGUGCUGCUUUUGUAGUCACCUCGAAUGCCCUCAUGAACCUGUGCACAACUCGGAAGGGAACGGAUCUCUUGGCUCUCGCAUCGAUGAAGAACGCAGCGAAAUGCGAUAAGUAAUGUGAAUUGCAUGUUGCUGUUUCAGCGAAUUCGCCUCCUCUAGAGGUAUGUGCACGCCUGGAUCGUUCAUCCUCCCUUUCUUACACCGCUAUGAACGCUUUUAUAUACACCUUUAUAAAGUCUUGUAGAAUGUUGAUAAGCGUGUAACAGCGCGAAAAUAAUACAACAGUGAAUCAUCGAAUCUUUGAACGCACCUUGCUCCUUGGUAUUCCGAGGAGCAUGCCUGUGAGUGUCAUGAAGUUCUCAACUGCUUUGACUUUAUUGUGAAGUGAAGUGGAUUUGGAGGAUCUUUGCUGGCGCGAGCUUGUGUGCAGAUUGCAUGCUUGCUUGCUUGUCGGCUCCUCUUAAAAUUAUGAAACCUUUCCAGUAGAUCUUGGCGAAAAGAGUAUCUUCGACGUGAUAACUAUCUGCGUCGUUGAGAAAGCUUAAGCAACCUCAAAUCAGGUAGGACUACCCGCUGAACUUAAGCAUAGACUGCUUCAAAGCAGGGCCCUUCAAAACUAAGGCUCCUACAGGGAAACGUUAAUGCGUAUGUCUUCUUCCAGUGAGCCUUG